GCAGUUGUGCCAUAUUCGUAUCAUGUUCAAGAUUUGUAUGAGACAAAGGAACCUAAUUGUAAAUGUAGUGCUCGUCUUCACAAUUUAUUCUGUAUUCAUUAUUUACAUUUGGUCUCUGUGUUUUAUACUUUAUAGUCCAAUACCUCAAGGACAUGAGCUUGUAUAAAUAUUGGCGAAAUAAUAAAGAAUAGUACAGUGUGAUUGCGAAACCAAAAGAAGAUCGGAGCUUUUCUGUCAAUAAAAUAAACCCAUCGGUGCCUUAACAUGAUCUCUAAACUGAUUAUACUGUUCGUCUUGUUUGCUCUGGCUAUGGCUCGACCUCAGCUAUACCCUGGUUACAGCGGUUACAGCGGUUACUCUUCCGGUUAUCCCAGUUACAAUGGUUAUUCUGCAUAUUCAAAUCCUCUUGCAUAUUCUGGAUACCCAGCUUAUUCUGGUUACCCAUAUAACUAUGGUUAUGGUGUUUACUAAAUUUAGUAAACAACACCGAAAAAUCUGUAAAAGAUAAAUUGUUUUUUUCCUUCCAUUAAAGACAAGAUACAUAUUUUUA